rnacentral:tRNA from 1 species
GCCCCUGUAACUCAGCUGGAUAGAGUACUGGCCUCCGAAGCCGGGUGCGGGCGUUCGAGUCGCCCCAGGGGCA